rnacentral:lncRNA from 1 species
UCCUAUUUACCUGUACGCAACGCAUAUACAUGAUCUUUGGGAAAGGGCAGGCAGCGGGCACCUACCAUGCAUAUGGGCAGAUGCACUCUAGACUUUCCUAUAAACCAGGUUCGUGUGAGUUCCUGCGUCACAGACCCCAAGUUCGGUUAUGUGCUACUCAAACUAGUUCAUCCAUUUAAUAUUCUGAGUAGUCAUCAAUCCAGCGCAAACUCCAAACGAUCCUACUGAUGAACAUAGUCAGAUCCAAUGGUGGCGAUUCUUUUUUAUUUCAUUUUUCAUCGGUGCUAUUUCCUCCUUUUCGUACUUACUUUCCAUUUGUAGCAUCUCUGGUCGCUUUUCUUUAAAUUAAUUCUACUUCCAAACUACAUGUUAGAUGGCCACGGUACUUUUAUUCUGUUUUAAAAAUGAUGGCCUCGGCACCCUUUUGACCAAACAAACUGACCACGCGAUUUGAACCACAUCUCAUCUCUCUGCUGUGCGCGGCAGAGGCUGUAAAAUGUAUUCCAAAGUAACAUGGGAGUAUCGUCAUGUACCGUCAAGAAAAAAGUAUGGGAGAAUCCUAUUUACCUGUACGCAACGCAUAUACAUGAUCUUUGGGAAAGGGCAGGCAGCGGGCACCUACCAUGCAUAUCGGCAGAUGCACUCUAGACUUUUCUAUAAACCAGGUUCGUGUGAGUUCCUGCGUCACAGACCCCAAGUUCGGUUAUGUGCUACUCAAACUAGUUCAUCCAUUUAAUAUUCUGAGUAGUCAUCAAUCCAGCGCAAACUCCAAACGAUCCUACUGAUGAACAUAGUCAGAUCCAAUGGUGGCG